UCGCUGGUGAAACGAAACCCACAGCCGUGGGACUUCGGCAGCAGAAGAGGGAGAGGCUGACACUCUCCUGGAGCCAGCUCUGCAGCCACUGGCUCUUCUGUGCCCACCGAGCCUCGCAAUGGAUCUCUCCAACACCCUAGCUAGAGAUCUGGACAGGUUCAUCGAAAACUACCUCCUGCCAGACACGUCUUUCCGCAAGGGGGUCAAACAAGCCAUCGAAAUCAUCUGUGCUUUCCUGAAGGAGAGGUGUUUCCUGCAUGAGGCCCACCAGGUGCGGGUGUCCAAAGUUGUGAAGGGCGGCUCCUCGGGCAAAGGCACGACCCUCAGAGGCCGAUCCGAUGCCGACCUCGUGGUCUUCCUCAGCCACCUCAGAAGUUUUCAGGAGCAGUUUGAUCGCCGAGGAGAAUUCAUCCGGGAAAUCAGGAGGCAGCUGGAAGCCUGUCAAAAAACCUAUAAGUUUGCAGUGGUGUUUGAGGUUCAGAAUACUAGAUGGGACAAUCCCCGCGCCCUGGGCUUCGUGCUCAGGUCCCCCUUGUUCCACAGUGACGUGGAGUUUGAUGUCCUGCCUGCCUUUGAUGUCCUGGGUCAGGUGCCGAGAAGCUACUAUUCUGACUCCCAAAUCCACGAAGACUACAGACCUGACCCCCAAAUCUACGUCAAGCUCAUCCGAGAGUGCGAAAGUCUGGGGAAGGAGGGCGAGUUCUCCUCCUGCUUCACGGAGCUGCAGCGAAGCUUCCUGAAGCAGAGACCAGCCAAGGUCAAGAGCCUCAUCCGCCUGGUCAAGCACUGGUACCAAAAGUGUAAGGAGAAGCUUGGGAAGCCCCUGCCACCGCAGUAUGCCCUGGAGCUCCUGACGGUCUACGCUUGGGAACGUGGAAACAAGGAAACGUAUUUCAGAACAGCUCAGGGGUUUCAGACAGUCUUGAAAUUGGUCCAGAACUACAAGAAGCUUUGCAUCUAUUGGACAAAGUAUUAUGACUUCAAAAAUCCCGUUAUUGCUGAAUACCUGCAGAAGCAGCUCAGGAAACCCAGGCCUGUGAUUCUGGACCCGGCCGACCCCACUGGAAAUCUUGGCAGUGGACACGCACAGAGUUGGCCGCGGCUGGCACGAGAGGCUGAAGUGUGGCUGAGUUACCCGUGCUUUAAGAAUGUGGAUGGCUCUCCAGUGGGCUACUGGGACAUAGAGAAACCGUGACGAGGGUUCUUGCCCACGUUUCCCCCCUUGCUCCCUCUGUCUCACGAGCAACCCCGGAGCUUCCCCAUGUGGCCCUGCGUGCAGGCUGUGCCUCCUGUUUCUGGGGACCUAAACUUUUUAGAUUGACGUCGUUUCGCUUGUCUGUUUUCCCUUGUGCUGCCUGUGCUUUGCAUAUGGUCAAAUGAUCUUCAGCAAGGUUGCCAAGAAUACACAAUGGCGAAAGGAUAUCUCUUCAACAAAUGUUGUUGGGAAAAUUGGAUAGUCACAUGGAAAAGAAUGAACUUGGACCACACACACAAACCAACGCCCAAUGGAUUAAAGACUUAAAUAUAAGACCUGAAACUGUUAAACUCCUAGACGAAAACAUAGGGGGAAAUCUUUAUGACAUUGGACUUGGCAAUGAUUCCAUGGAUACGACACCAAAACACAGGCAGCCAAAGAUAUUUCUUUUUAUAUGGUGUGAGGUAGGAGUCCAGUUCGAGUUCUUUUAGGCCCGGUUAUCCAAACAGCAUUCGUUGAAGGAAUCAUAAUUUCCAUACUGCUCUGCGAGGCCACCUCUGACAUCUACCCAGAGCUCAUACGUGUAUGAGUCUGUUUCUGGGCCCUGUUCUGUUUCAUUGGUCUAUUUUUGUAUUCUUAAUACUACCUUGUUUUAAUUACUCUAACCUUAAAAUAAUUCUUAGUAUCUUGUAGAAAACUCUGUCCUCUUUUUAUCAAAGUCCAUGGCUUUUCAUGUCCCUUCCUGUUUCUAUGUUAAUUUUAGACUCAGUUCGUAGAGUUUCACCCAAAAUAUGGGGAGGCAUUUGAUUGACAUGACAUAAAUUAGAAAGAAUGACAUCUAUAUCAUAUUGAGCAUUCCCAUCCAUGGACUUGGAGUUUCUCUCCAUUAAUUUAAGUCUUUUUUAAUGAUUCUGUAACUAAGUUUCACAAUUUUUUCCUGAAUAGGUCUUUCAUGUCUUUUAUCAUAUUAUUCCUAGAUAUUUGUUUCUAUGUUAUUAUACUUAGUAUGUUUUCUUUAAUUUCAUUUUGUAAUCGUUGGUUCCUGGAAGACCUAAAUGUUUCAGUAAGUAUAUCUGAUUAUAGCAUUAUGAGUGAUCUUUAUGCUUUUCUGAUUUUAUUAAUUUUUUUUGCAGUAAACUCGUAUUCCUUAUGUGACCACAAGAAAUAAUAAACUUCUAUUCCUUAUAUGACAAGAAACAAUUAA